GACGAACGCUGGCGGCGUGCCUAAUACAUGCAAGUCGAACGCAGUGGGGACGGGUGAGUAACACGUGGGUAACCUCCAAUCAGAGGGGAUAACACUUGGAAACAGGUGCUAAACCGUUACUUAUGGAUGUACCUGCGGUGCAUUAGCUCGUUGGUGAGGUAACGGCUCACCACGGCCACGAUGCAUAGGCGACCUGAGAGGGUGAUCGGCAACACUGGGGCUGGGACACGGACCAGACUCCUACGUGAGGCACCAGUAGGGAAUCUUCGGCAAUGGACGAAAGUCUGACCGACCAACGCCGCGUGAGUGAAGCAGGUUUUCGGAUCGUAAAACUUGUUUGUUAGAGAAGCGGGAUCUAACCAGAAAGCCACGGCUAACUACGUGCCAGCAGCCGCGGUAAUAC
rnacentral:rRNA from 1 species